UACAGAGGGUGCGAGCGUUAAUCGGAAUUACUGGGCGUAAAGCGCGCGUAGGCGGCUUUGCAAGUCGAGUGUGAAAUCCCCAGGCUCAACCUGGGAACUGCAUUCGAGACUGCAUAGCUAGAGUAUGGGAGAGGGAAGUGGAAUUUCAGGUGUAGCGGUGAAAUGCGUAGAUAUCUGAAGGAACACCGGUGGCGAAGGCGGCAUCCUGGACCGAGAUUGACGCUGAGGCGCGAAAGCCAGGGGAGCAAACGGGG
rnacentral:rRNA from 1 species